UACGGAGGGUGCGAGCGUUGUCCGGAAUCACUGGGCGUAAAGGGCGCGUAGGCGGCCUGAUAAGUAGGGGGUGAAAUCCUGCGGCUUAACCGCAGGGCUGCCUUCUAAACUGUCAGGCUAGAGCACAGUAGAGGCAGGUGGAAUUCCCGGUGUAGCGGUGGAAUGCGUAGAGAUCGGGAGGAACACCCGUGGCGAAGGCGGCCAUCUGGACCAGCACUGACGCUGAGGCACGAAAGCGUGGGGAGCAAACAGG
rnacentral:rRNA from 1 species